rnacentral:lncRNA from 1 species
AUGGUUCUAAGUGUUAUGCAUGUAUUAUUUAGAAAUAGUUUUGAUGAUGAUAAAUUUCAAAAGGAUGUGGUGAUGGAAACUUUUAAAUAGUUGUGUUGAUGACAACGUCAAAUGAUUUUGAUCACGACAACUCUUUCAAAGGUUAACCUAAUCAGUCAAAUGUUUCAAGUUCAAGUAGAAAAUAUCAGACAAUGUUAAAUCAGGAAAAUGAACAUUGUAGUCAUGAAGUUGUGAACUCAAAUAUGUGAAAGUC